GUGGGGAAUUUUGGACAAUGGGCGCAAGCCUGAUCCAGCAAUGCCGCGUGCAGGAAGAAGGCCUUCGGGUUGUAAACUGCUUUUGUACGGAACGAAACGGUCCUGGUUAAUACCUGGGGCUAAUGACGGUACCGUAAGAAUAAGCACCGGCUAACUACGUGCCAGCAGCCGCGGUAAUACGUAGGGUGCAAGCGUUAAUCGGAAUUACUGGGCGUAAAGCGUGCGCAGGCGGUUUUGUAAGACAGGCGUGAAAUCCCCGGGCUCAACCUGGGAAUUGCGCUUGGGACUGCAAGGCUGGAGUGCGGCAGAGGGGGAUGGAAUUCCGCGUGUAGCAGUGAAAUGCGUAGAUAUGCGGAGGAACACCGAUGGCGAAGGCAAUCCCCUGGGCCUGCACUGACGCUCAUGCACGAAAGCGUGGGGAGCAAACAGGAUUAGAAACCCCUGUAGUCC
rnacentral:rRNA from 1 species